rnacentral:rRNA from 1 species
UACAGAGGGGGCAAGCGUUGUUCGGAAUUACUGGGCGUAAAGGGCGCGUAGGCGGCCUGUUAAGUCGAACGUGAAAUCCCCGGGCUCAACCCGGGAACUGCGUCCGAUACUGGCAGGCUUGAAUCCGGGAGAGGGAUGCGGAAUUCCAGGUGUAGCGGUGAAAUGCGUAGAUAUCGUAAGGAAGACCAGUGGCGAAGGCGGGUCUCUGGACAGUUCCUGACGCUGAGGCACGAAGGUCAGGGGAGCAAACGGG